AGAACGAACGCUGGCGGCACGCCUAACACAUGCAAGUCGAGCGCCCAGCAAUGGGAGCGGCGGACGGGUGAGGAACACGUGGGAAUAUGCCUUUCGGUUCGGCACAACUGCGGGAAACUGCAGCUAAUUCCGGAUACGCCCUUACGGGGAAAGAUUUAUCGCCGAAAGAUUAGCCCGCGUCUGAUUAGCUAGUUGGUGAGGUAAUGGCUCACCAAGGCUUCGAUCAGUAGCUGGUUUGAGAGAACGACCAGCCACACUGGGACUGAGACACGGCCCAGACUCCUACGGGAGGCAGCAGUGGGGAAUCUUGGACAAUGGAGGAAACUCUGAUCCAGCGAUGCCGCGUGAGUGAUGGAAGGCCUUCGGGUUGUAAAACUCUUUUACCAGGGAAGAUAAUGACUGUACCUGGAGAAUAAGCUCCGGCUAACUCGUGCCAGCAGCCGC
rnacentral:rRNA from 1 species